GCAUAACGCGAAGAACCUUACCGGGGCUUGACAUCUUUCUGACCGCCUGGGAAACCAGGUCUUCUUCCUUCGGGAAGACGGAAAGACAGGUGGUGCAUGGUUGUCGUCAGCUCGUGUCGUGAGAUGUUGGGUUAAGUCCCACAACGAGCGCAACCCUUGUCCUUAUUUGCCAGCCUGUUUACAGGCGUACUUUAAGGAGACUGCCGUAGAUAAUACGGAGGAAGGUGGGGAUGACGUCAAAUCCUCAUGCCCCUUACGUCCCGGGCUACACACGUGCUACAAUGGUCUGUACAGAGGGUAGCCAAGAAGCAAUUCGGAGCCAAUCCCAAAAAGCAGGCCCCAGUUCGGAUUGGAGGCUGCAACUCGCCUCCAUGAAGUCGGAAUCGCUAGUAAUCGCGGAUCAGCACGCCGCGGUGAAUCCGUUCCCGGGUCUUGUACACACCG
rnacentral:rRNA from 1 species